rnacentral:lncRNA from 1 species
UCCAGGCUGAAGCGAUCCUCCCACCUCAACCUCCCACGUGGCUGAGACUACAGGUGCUUGCCACUAUGCCCAACUAACAUUUGGAAUUUUCGUAUACGUGGAUUCUAGAGGGGUGACAGCGAAACGUGAGUGGGACCAUCCAGUUGCAGGAAAACAAGCUUAACACGCCCACUGAUUCUACAUUAUGCUCCUACCUCCCGGCAGCCUCUCCAGGCCCAGAACUUUCUCCAGUCAGCCUCUACAGACCAAGCUCAUGACUCUCAAUGGCCUAUUUAGGCCCAUACCCUACGUCACGGCAGCCUCCGCAGAUGAGGCUACUGCCUCACAACAGCCUCCACAGGCACAGCUCCAUCGUUACAAUGGCCUCUUUAGACCCAGCUCCUGCCUCCCAGCCUUCUCUCCAGGCCCUGAACUUUCUCAAGUCAACCUCACCAGGCCCAGCUCAUGCUUC